CAUUACUACCAAUUCAGCGGGUCCCACACGCCAAGCCCCGCUCGUUACCCAUGUAAUGGACUUUCAUCCUUACCACAAACCCGACAGAUAAACAGAGGCCCAGGGAGCUGAAGUUUUCCCAGCAUUUCCCGUUGGAAUUCUCUCCUCCACCCUGAGGAAUGAGACCAAGGGACCCUGGAGCUCCUCCAGGCCCAGCUGACUUCUGUACCUCCUCGGCCCUCUUCAGUGCUUCUCUGGCUCCAGCUCCUGGAAGC